GACGAACGCUGGCGGCGUGCUUAACACAUGCAAGUUGAACGGUCCGGCAUGGAAGCUUGCUGAAGUGUCGGGUAGUAGCGGACGGGUGAGUAAUGCAUGAGAAGCUGCCAUUGGGAGGGGGACAACAGUUGGAAACGGCUGCUAAUACCCCAUAUGCCGGAAGGUGAAACGGAGUGAUCCGCCCGAUGAGGUGCUCAUGUCCUAUCAGCUUGUUGGUGAGGUAACGGCUCACCAAGGCGACGACGGGUAGCCGGCCUGAGAGGGUGACCGGCCACACUGGAACUGAGAUACGGUCCAGACUCCUAUGGGAGGCAGCAGUGGGGAAUAUUGGGCAAUGGGGGCAACCCUGACCCAGCGACGCCGCGUGAGGGAAGACGGCCUUCGGGUUGUAAACCUCUUUUGUACGGGAAGAAGGAUGCGACGGUACCGUGCGAAUAAGUCCCGGCUAACUACGUGCCAGCCGCCGCCGUAA
rnacentral:rRNA from 1 species